AUGGUUAGAACUAGCCAACAUUAACGUUAGACAGCUUAUUUUUGUUCUGUAUCGCCUUCUCACAUUUUCUCACAAUUUGCCAGACUGUCAGAUAUUCAACGUUAGCUGAACAACAUGUGAGUGAGUCAUAUCUACGAUUGCGAAGUUGUUAUGAUAGCUUUAUAGGCCUAUCUACCGUGUAAGGAUAGUUUACAAUGUUGACAGUCAUAUCAUAAUUGUAAUGGCAUCAAUGAAGAAAACAAGACAUCGGGCAAGGAGUGGUAUACCAGACCUGACCCUAAGGUGAAAAAGUGGCACAACCUCUAUUAAAAGGUUAGUUUACAGUAGGCCUACUCUGUGUUCUGUAGGCUAUUGUGUUAACAGACUCACUGGAUCAAUAGGACAAGUGAGCUAAUAAGCAAUGAAUGAAAACCAGUGUAAUUCACCUGUCUUGUGUCUUAGUAUGCACAGUAUGCAUGUCUGUGUUACAGAUUGAGAAAUGUCCGGCGCAUCUUAGGGGCCAGACAUCACUUUUUAUGGGUCAGGGUCAGCAGACAUGUGCAUCUCAAGGGCACAGGUGUCACACCAUCAGGUCCAGGUCUGACCGCUCAUAAGGCCACAGGUGUCACACCAUCAGGUCCGGGUCUGACCGCUCAUAAGGCCACAGGUGCCCCACUAGGAGCUCCUCCCGCUGCUGCACCUGGACCAUCAGGCACCUCCCCUUUCGAGCCCUGGAAAGUGCUUGAUAAACUGGUGAACUUCCAUUAGUGUGGCCCCCACCAACAGACAUUUUGCUAUCAUGUGUCAGGACCCAGCUGCAUCCUCCAUCCAAGCUUUUGGACAUUGACCCCACCUCCUGCAUCACCACUGGCCCGGUCUCCUCCUCCAUCGCCUUGUACACUGGCCCUGUCGCCUCUAACUCCUGCUCUGUUGGUCCAGCCAUCAGAACUGGCUUUAGACGAACAUAACAUGCCAGGCAUGGACAAGGUGGACAGCCUAGCUGAGUUCCUGGUGGAUCUGCGUCAUGAGCCAUCCUUGACCCUUACCAACCAGCAGGCUGGCAGAAUUGUAAAUCUGUGGCAGAACCUGUUGCCAUAUGACCAACAACGUGUGGCCUUUGCUGCACGGUACCAAGAACGGCUCAACCAAGGACGGUUCCGUUCUCCUAAAAAGAAAAAGGACUUCACACCAGGAGUGCCACUUUGCAGCUGAUUUCCUACUCCAGCCUUUCCCUACACCAGUUAUUUUUACCCUCCCUCAGAGCCCAGCCACAGGCACUGUUUUCCCUUUCACCUGCUCCCUCAGUGCAUCCCAGACCUCCUGCUAUCCCACAACAGCCCUCACCUGGCCCACAGAAACCCACCUCCAAGGCCAAUUUUAAUAAACGAACAGUGGAGGUGAAUUCAUGCCGGAAAUGUGGACAGUUCCGGACAAAGGCAACUGGCCACAGUCAGUAUAAGGGCACUAUAUACAGCCCAAAUACAGAGCCUCUGUCAAAAGAGGAGUGGCUGAAAGAAAUGAAAAGUAAAUUGUAAAUGUGUACACUACUAUUUUGAGGUUGUUUGUAGGGUUGUUCUCAUGCUCGUGUGUGUGU